UACGGAGGGUGCAAGCGUUACUCGGAAUUACUGGGCGUAAAGCGUGCGUAGGCGGUUUGUUAAGUCCGUUGUGAAAGCCCUGGGCUCAACCUGGGAAUUGCAGUGGAUACUGGCGAGCUAGAGUGCGGUAGAGGAUGGUGGAAUUCCCGGUGUAGCGGUGAAAUGCGUAGAGAUCGGGAGGAACACCCGUGGCGAAGGCGGCCAUCUGGACCAGCACUGACGCUGAGGCACGAAAGCGUGGGGAGCAAACAGG
rnacentral:rRNA from 1 species